rnacentral:lncRNA from 1 species
GAAAAACACACACAAUACGAACUUCUACUACUAUGUGGAAGACAUUCAAAUGUAUUUUGUCAAAUCCCAACAUGGUACUUUCUUGCUAAAUGGUUGGAAUUUGUUCUGGAAUGUACAGAAAGUCAAUUGACUUUGUUUAAAUCUGUCUCCAACUAAUUUGUUGUUGAUUGGUACAUGACAUAAGUACAGAAGGGCGAUUUCCCCAUACUUGCAUUUUGAUGGACUUGCCUUGUUAAGGCUUACUAUUGUUGCUUCAAGGUGGUUCUUUUAUUAUUAUUUGAAGGAUGCAGUAAAUGAGGUGUUCAUUAGCUGCAGAUGAUUGGAGAUCAUUAUUCCUACUUUCAUUACAAGUAGAUCUGAUGUGUAGGGUUUUUCCGUGUUGCCUUCCUGUGUGCCCUCUCCAACAGCUUGGAAUUCUAUGGACAGACUAAAAUUGCUGAUUGUAUCACUCCUGCUCUGCCGUCCUCACAGCACUUCUCUGUUUGACAGUAAGUAGUUGCCAUGGAAAUAAUUGUGGUGUCACAAAUUCAGUGUUAUGAUUUCAAUAGAGGAUCAUGUAAACUGGAAGAAAUGGUCUGCAAGAGUAACUAAUACAAAUGGCAAAGGAAAAAUUACAAACAUAUCCAAGAGGACAACGUUGUCUGGAUAACCAGAAGUCCCAGUUUGUCUGGACAAGAUCAAGAAUGCUGAAAAUUACCAUUUCAUCUCAGUCAAAAACUAUGAAAAUUUAUUCCUGACACAGAAUUUUUGCUAGGUGAAAGAGGACUUCUUUUGUUGUUACCCUUUGAGAUGGUGAAUGAAUCAUUCACAGAAAACUGAAAUAGACAACAGCUUUGAUUCACAUAUAGCUCAAUACAUUACUGUUUCACCUGCCUGGUGAAACCCAGUGAGGUUCCAACAUUAAGAUGAAUUCUUCCUGCCUGUCCUGAUAUUUGAAUAGAAUAUAGAAUAUUUGGAGUCAAGUUAGAACCAUAAACAUGCAUGAAGGCAUAAAGGCACAAAAUAUAUAGUAUAUACAGUAGACAUACUAUAGAUUACUAGCCAGAAAGUCUAUUAAGGGAUAUUAAAGAAGUCUCUCACUUUUUUUAAUUACCUGUAGAACGGGUGUAUCAAUAUCUUCCUGCCUCAUAGGCACAUUGUGAGGGUAAAUACACUCAUGACUACAAGGUACUCACACUGGUGUCCUGAGAUAACACAGUAACCAGAUAGGAUUUUAGGGUUUCUAAAACUGGUUUCUACUGGUUUUACCAAACUAAGUACUUUCUGGUAAAAUGCCAGUUACUUCAGAGCAGCAAAAUUUGCCACUGAAUUUUAACAGUUUCAAAACAAGUCUUUGAAGGUUUCCUCUAAGCUGUCCACAUUAUCUAAAAGCUAGGGGUUAAACUGCAUUUGAAAUGUGUUCUGGGUGUCCCCAGCAUACUCUGUUCCUCAUGUUUGGGACAGAGCCAGUCUCUCCUGGGUUGUAGAUCUGUUUGAAAUAAUCAACUUUCUCCUUGGGAGCAUUUGCAUGCAAAAAUUAGUUUUCUCAUGCAUGGAGACUGGUUUUCAUUUCUGAGAGAAAUUCAAGGAAAUAAUAAGAAAUGUUUUGAUUUAUGCAAAGCAGUGAUAUUUUUUGGAAUUAAUUUUUAAAUCUAACUACAACUGGCUUACACUGAUAUAAUUUGUUCUAGUCCUUGUUUACACAGAAAAGUUAAACUAGUUUAAGUGACUAAUAUUAGGAUUAUACUCCCAGCACUAAUCUUCGGCAAAGUCAUAAGAGAAUUAAUAGGGGAUACAUAAAGAUUUUUAGAGAGUAGCGCCAUAAUCAAUGUAAAUCAAACUGUUGUGGUUUUGUUGUCGUUCUUUUUUUUGUUUGUUUGUUUCUUUGUUUUUAAGAAAAUGGAUCUUGCCAGACAAACUAGAUAAAAAAAAAAAAAAGCUUUUAAAAAAUAAGUAUUACAAGUAUGGUUGUCAAAGAUAAGUGUUGGUACAAUAGCUGGGCUGUAAUUCAAAACAAGAUUUAGGAGUGCUGUUCAGGAUGGAAAUGACUGAAAGUUAGGGCCUUAGCUCUGUAAAUCAAACAUUCAAGGCAAAUGCAGCUCUGCAUCUCGUGUGGGAAGAGCUAAAUGGUUACCACUAGGAAUCCUAAACUCCACACAUCAAUUCUGGGGAUGUUAAAGAAAAUUCCUUUGAAAAGUAAAUACCUAAAACUUGAAGAGAUGGGAGAGGUGAUAUCUACAGCAGCCUUCUAAGAAUAAAUGUCUUAUGCCUCUCA